UACGGGGGGAGCAAGCGUUGUUCGGAUUUACUGGGCGUAAAGGGCGCGUAGGCGGCCACCGCAAGUCGACUGUGAAAUCUCCGGGCUUAACCCGGAAAGGUCAGCCGAUACUGCGGGGCUAGAGUGCAGAAGGGGCAACUGGAAUUCUCGGUGUAGCGGUGAAAUGCGUAGAUAUCGAGAGGAACACCUGCGGCGAAGGCGGGUUGCUGGGCUGACACUGACGCUAAGACGCGAAAGCGUGGGGAGCAAACAGG
rnacentral:rRNA from 1 species